rnacentral:rRNA from 1 species
GAGUGGCGCACGGGUGCGUAACACGUAUGUAACCUACCUUUAUCAGGGGGAUAGCCUCUCGAAAGAGAGAUUAAGCCCGCAUAACAUCACGACAUAGCAUUAUGAUGUGAUCAAAUAUUUAUAGGAUAAAGAUGGGCAUGCGGAACAUUAGCUAGUUGGUAAGGUAAAGGCUUACCAAGGCUACGAUGUUUAGGGGAUCUGAGAGGAUGACCCCCCACACUGGUACUGAGACACGGACCAGACUCCUACGGGAGGCAGCAGUAAGGAAUAUUGGUCAAUGGGCGGAAGCCUGAACCAGCCAUGCCGCGUGCAGGAAGACGGCCCUACGGGUUGUAAACUGCUUUUGCAGGGGAAUAAACCUCGUUACGUGUAACGAGUUGAAUGUACUCUGAGAAUAAGGAUCGGCUAACUCCGUGCCAGCAGCCGCGGUAAUACGGAGGAUCCAAGCGUUAUCCGGAUUUAUUGGGUUUAAAGGGUGCGUAGGCGGCCUAUUAAGUCAGGGGUGAAAGACGGUAGCUUAACUAUCGCAGUGCCUUUGAUACUGAUGGGCUUGAAUGUAGUUGAGGUAGGCGGAAUGUGACAAGUAGCGGUGAAAUGCAUAGAUAUGUCACAGAACACCAAUUGCGAAGGCAGCUUACUAAAGUAUGAU